rnacentral:lncRNA from 1 species
CACUGUUUAAAACUACAGACAUGGAUCCAAACACACAGCAUACUAUGACCUCUAGUGGAUCCCAGACGGAUUACAGUGUGACUGAGCUUCAACUUCAGUCAGAGCUGGAAAGAGAAAUUGGUUUAAAGCUGGAGUAUCAACAAAAAUAUGAAAGUUUACAGCAGGAGCAGGAUAAAAUGUCUUCUGAGAGGGAGAAGUCCAAAAAUGAGAUGAGGAAGCAGAGAAAUGAGAUCCAGAGUCUCCGUGAAGAAUCGAUUAAUCUCAAGCAACAGGUGGAUGCUGCAAAUGUUUGCCUGUUAACACAGGCGGCAACUGAGAAGCAACUAAAAGAAGUUCAGGUUGAGCUCCAAGAAAAAGAAACCAGGCUGACUGCCUUAGGUGAAAACUUUCAUGCAAUAACUCAGCAGCUACAGGGCGAACAAAAUGUUUUAUUUGAAGCAAACAACUCACUUGUUGCUGAUAUGCAGGAAAUGAUCACUAGCUUGCGUAAAAUGUGUUUAGGGAAUCAGAGUAUCAUUAAGCAACUGAGUGAAAGGAAUCCCUUUGCUCCUAAGAAUAACAAGGAGAACCAAGGAAAUGAGUUGAUGGAACUUCAGCAGAAAGUUAAAGAUUUGGAGUCGGAGCUUGAAGGAGAAAAAGAAAAACUCAGUUUAUUGCAAAGCAUGCUAGAAUCCAUGAACGAGUGUCACCAAGUUCUAAUUCAACAAUACAAUUUACUUGUUGCUUAUAAUGAGGAAAUGAUCAAUCAGAUGCAUGGAAAGGAUUUAGAGAUUCAACGUCUCAACGUGCAACUGAGUGAUCUGGAGGAACAAAGGAUGGAGAACCCUGAAGAACAACCACCACCAACAUCUGAUUCCCAGAGUGAUGAAGACAAUGGCCCAGUGACAAAUGAUGGAUAUGAACCUCCAGAAGCACUGAGCUCCACAGAUGUUCCCUCAGGUGAACCUGUGGAGCUGCAGGCUGGGACCAACACUAGAUCUACUGUUGGGGCACAGGCAGGAGGUUUUUGGUCUCGCUGUGCACAAACCCUGUUUUCACGCCAUGUUGGCAUUGCAGCAGGCUGUGUAGCAGCUCCAAUAGUAGCGUACAUGGUGGUUAAAGGACGUCUCAGUUUCCCCAUUACAGAUUACUUCGAGAUUACUGUAUGUAAUCUGACAGAUUCUGUCCUAGAAUACAUCCAGACUACCAGACACAAUUCAGUGGGGAAAUUGCUGAUACAAAAUGCCAGACACAUUUAUUACUAAAACGUUGAUUUGGAUGAUCAAUUGAGAAUGCCAAUAUCUGGGAUAUUACACUUCUAUGUUGUAAAAAAAAAAAAAAUAAAGACAUUUUUG